GACUUUAAAGUGUCAGUGAAAACAUACACUUGGUGCUUUAGGGCGUUUUGUUUGUGUGUUCCUUAAAGCUGUGGACUCAAUUACGCUAACGUACAUUUAUUUUUUUUAAAAAGGACAAAAAUGUGUUUUGUAGAUGUACUUAUUUUCAUUUGAGAGCUUAUCGUUUCAGAGAAAACAGUGGACAAAAUUUUGAUGACUCAUCCAGUCGAGCAAUCUCUGGGGCGCCUAUGCCCCGCCCGGGUAAACAACAGAAAUCUGAACAUUGAUUUAAAGGUCUAGUGUUAAAAAUAAACCCAAGCCACUGAACGUCAAGAAAGAUCUUUUGCAACCUGAGAACUGAUAAGUGAUGAAACUUUGAGAUUAUUACUCGGACGAGUGCUUUGAUCUACUGCAUGUACAAGCCUCUGAUAGUGUAGUGUGGUGUGUAAUGUACAGAACAUGGAAAGUGUCAAUUCCAGACUAAAUCGAAAGAUUAUUAAAAUUUCCACACAUCCUUACCUUUCCCUCAUCAUCCAGCAGAUGCACCUGCUUGCCGUCCAACACCUUAACCCGAGCCCCGAUAGGGACCCCGAUCCAGGAGUCCACCCAGACAUAAUCACCCUAAAGACAAGCACUACGUUUGGGCACCCACCACCAUUGAGACGUCUCUCCGGACACAGGAUUCACACAAACUAAACCACGCAGGACUGUUCCUCUACCCAGCGAUGUCCCUGAGUUGCUGCCACAUCCAAGAAGAAGCUGAAAGUGUCCCGGAAUUUUUCCACCUCGCUGAAGAAUGAGGAAGACGUCGAUGUAGACGUUAGACGUGGACACGUGGUUCUCUUUAUGGCACCUUAACUUUUAGCAUUUAUCAGCUCUGGGUUCAUCAACGUCACUGUAAAUUGGAUAAUAUAUCCAGAGAGGAGACCACGUGAUCAGGUAAGAAAGGGCACUGAAGCAGCUUCCAGGAGGAAGGAGACAAAACCUGAGUGUUAAAAUGACAUAUCACGAACAGGAGGUGGCCUUUUGGACUUGGGGAAUACACCAGGCCGGGGCAUAAAAACGGCACAAUAAAGGCGUAAAGCUCAAAAACAUGAGGGCACUUAAAUACAGGAGA